UGGAGGAUCGCAGCAACCUUGCUUGCUACCUCCCUAGCAGAGGAGGAGACUGUCGGAGAGGUGAAGGGGCCGGAUCCCUGGCACACUGUAGGAGCCAGAGGGCAGUCCUGGGCUGGGAGCAGAAGAGCCAGAAAGAGGGAAGGAGGUGUCUUCUGGUUGUCCCUUCUCGGCUGAUGCAUGGAUAUCCAAUACAUACUUAUUAAAUGACUGGAAUCAUUUGUACAGUUGGCCCUGUGGUCAGGAGACUCUUCUCAGAGGUAGAAGAGUCAAGUCCAAAGUUGUUUCCCAUAAGAAAGAGAAGCUGUCCACCCACCCAUCCACCCACACAUCCAUCGGUCUACUUGUCUACCUAACCCUCACUCAUCCAUUCAGCCGCCCCUUCACACACUGCUCCACCUAUCUAGUAUCUUUUCAUUAUAUUCUGGGCUAGGUUCUGUGCUGAGAGUUGAAGACUCUACAGAUGAAUCAAAUACUUCCCCCUGCUCUCCAGCAGCCCACAGUGGGAUAGAGAAAGAUGAUGCAAAUAGACUAUAAAAAAUAAACAUGUGAGACAAUCCAGGAGCUGUGGACCCCCAUGAUCACUCAAUCAUGGGGUCAGAGAGGCUUUCUGGAGGAAGUGACACUUGGGUUGAUCUUGAAGGAUGAGGAGCAGUACCAAGGCAGAAAAAGAAUGAAAGUUAAGGACCAGAAUGUGCAAAAGUCCAGGGGCGGCGUGUCAAAUUGCAUGUCAUUGUUUGGCAAACUGUACGUGCUGGAAAAGGCAGAGGUGGUAGAACAGGGUGGAAGAGAAGUCAAAGCUAGGGUCUGAUGCAGAUUCCUGACCUGAUCCUGGUUCUUCUAGAUGUGGACAGGGAGGGAGCACAGAUGGAGGCCUCCCAGGCUAGUGUUAGGCAGUGGACACCAGAUCUGAGUGAGUUCAUACUAAGGACCCGGGCUUCUUGGGUACAAGGGUGGGGAGGUUCUAUUUCAGGCCAACUCAUUGACCAGGUGAGCAUUAACAGGCAAGAUGGGUCACACUUCUGAGCCUCAGUCUCCCAUGGCUCAGCUGAGGAGCUGUCAUUUGCUAGUUGAGGCUGCUGAUGCUCCUUCCCUUUACCUUACAGGAUGACUCCAAAUGGCCACUCUAGGUUCAGGCCAGGGGGGCUCCCCUACAGUAUGUAAAUCUGCUUUCUGUAGUUCAGUCCAGGCAGGGUGAUUGUCUAAAACACAGUCUGGAAUGCAACACUCACUGCUUGUGAAUAAAAGCACACAGUUCUUAAUAAAGCAUUAAAAAAUCCCACACUUUUAAACAGUCUCUGCCUC